GAUGCGAGCGUUAUCCGGAUUUAUUGGGUUUAAAGGGUGCGUAGGCGGACGGUUAAGUUAGCGGUAAAAUCGAGAGGCUCAACCUCUUUCCGCCGUUGAAACUGCCGUGCUUGAGUGGGCGAGAAGUAUGCGGAAUGCGUGGUGUAGCGGUGAAAUGCAUAGAUAUCACGCAGAACUCCGAUUGCGAAGGCAGCAUACCGGCGCCCGACUGACGCUGAGGCACGAAAGCGUGGGGAUC
rnacentral:rRNA from 1 species